GUCUGUUUAAAAGAAAGAAUGUCACCUUUUUAUAUUGCAACUUGCAAGUCUCACUUGCUGUUUUGUGAAGUAAAUUUGCUGUUUCAGGAAUCAGCUUUAUUCAAAGUUCUAUUGAGUACAGAGUUAUAACAACCAAGUUGAUACAUAUAUACAGCAAGGACAUAGUAGCUAGUAGCAUUAGUUAACUUCAGUCUUAUUCUGUUCUUUGUGGAGAAAAUAUCAUGCAUAACAUUUACUCAAUUCGAACUUGCACCAGUUUCAAAACUGCUUCCAACCUCACUGCUAAAUUGGCUUCCCUCUGCAGUAGUCCGAAUGUUUAUCAUGCAAGAUAGCUACCACGGCUGUAAAACAAUUGAUAGGUGUAUGUGUUGACUGAACCAAUUCCCAAUCAUCGUCCUCAAACUUUUAUAAAAAUCUAGUCGACAAACAAAACACAAAAGGGCAAAAAAAAAAAAAAAAAAAAAAAAAAAAGAGGAGACAACGACUAAUCAUAGACAAAACUUUUGUUUUUUAGCCUGGACUCUAUCUUAAUUCCCGACCAGAUCAACUAUUGAUUCAAGAAAGCAACCACAUUAUCCGAUGAUAGUAAAAAAGACAGAACAAAAUCAUCAUAGUCAAUUUGCAGAUAAAAUGUUUGUAAAAAAGCUCUGGAUUGCUACUCUUGUACUACUUGUAAUCUGCACAAACAUAUCCAAAGCAAAAUAUUACUCAGUGUUCUUCUUGUGGUGAUAUUCAUAACAUCAACUUUCCUUUUCGAUUCAAAGCUGAUCCAGAGAAUUGUGGAGAUUCAAGGUUUGAGCUUGAUUGCCAGAACAAUCGUACUGUCAUAAGUUUGAAUUCAUGAAAAUAUAACGUGCUCGAAAUCAACUAUGAUGAAUUCUUGAUCAGGGCAAUUGACCCUGGUUUGGAGAAUCAGAGCAAGAACUGUACUUCUUCUCCCAAUUAUUUCACCACCACUUAUCCUAGUUCCUCAACUUUUGGCGUUAUUGAUCCGAUUAUUCCCGUUAUAUAUGUCAAUUGUUUAGCCACUGUAAAUUCUUCGCGCUAUGUGAAGACUACUUUCUGUGGAUCACAGAACAAGACUUCAAAUUCUUCCCAAAGUCAUAGCUAUGUGGCCAUUGGACAAGACAUGUCGAUUUCGGAUUUGGUUGAGAGUUGCAGAGUGGAAAUGGUAGCUUGGGCCUCAGCCCAUGGGCUUUCGGGGGACAAUACUUCCCUAUCGGGCAUUGAGGGUGCCCUGAGUUAUGGAUUUGAGCUUUCUUGGAAGCGUACCUUCUUGUGUAGAGAAUGUGAAGCGUGGCAAGACAACACCUGUUUUGUUGAAGGUGAUGGCUUUAGUUGCAGGCACCGAUGCUACGAUGACACGGGGAUAGAUCUUCCCCUCCCUUGUCAGUCAAAGUUCAUUUUACAUUUCACCAUGUUCAACUCGAAUUCCCUUUCCGAAUUAUCUGUUUUAUAAGAAUCCCCAUAUUGCGCCCAAGGGUGUGGCCUCAUGUUCAAAUCCCAACAGAGACUAAAACUUUAGGUGAUUUCUUCCAUCUGUCCUAGCUUUGGUGGACUGAGUAGACAGAGUUACUUGGAACCUGUUGUUGGUGAGAGAUGAUAGGUAUCUCGUGAAAUUAGUCAAGGUGCGCGCAAGCUGGCCCGGACACCAUGAUUAUAAAAAAAAUCCUCAUAUCUAAGGUUGCAUAUGCGACUUGAUCGGAGUCUAAUUGGUCGUACUGAAUGUUGAACUUAUAUGGCAAGUUAAAUGUACUUUCAAGUUUCAAAUUUAAGGUGUCAUUCUUUACCAAAGAUGUGCUCAGGUUUCAUUCAUUUACUAUAAUCACUCUCUGUGGGGUCUGUACUUUAAAGUUAUAAGACAAUUUGGAUCUCCUUUGCAUUCAAUUCUCCACUCUUUUUAUGUUUAUCAGUUACCCUCUUUAUUACAAAUUUCAAUUCUCAGCAACUUAUUUAAGAUGUAGCAUCUGUAUUUACUCAUAUUCCUAUAUUUGGAUAAUGCAGGCAGCAUCCACUACUACGUAUGAGAUACUGAAGUGCUAUAACUUCAUUACACUAAGCAUUCCUUUGAAAGGAGACCGUUAAAGCAAUAUGUUUUACAGUAUAAUCCCCCUUCAAGUCUAUAUACAAUUUGUUUCCUCUAACGUAAUUUUUCCUUUGUGAUUUGCCUAUUUUGACAGUUCUUACUAUAUUGUACGGUGGAACAGUUAUAGGUGAGUCUUCUUAUCUUACUCAACAAGGAUAAGCGUUCUUGGUACACUCUGAAUUCUGAAAAGGAAAAUAACAGCUUUGAAGCUUUUACUCAAGCCCCUUUAUCCUAGGAAAAUGGAUGUGGUUUUCUUACUAAUUCCUUCCAUUUUCUUUUUCAAAUUAUGCAGUUUCACUUAUGUCAUUCCGAUUUUUCUGUGGAUUCAUUUUCCUGAUUGUAUUAAUAUUGUAUAAAUGGAGAAGACAACACUUCUCUAUGUAUCAAUCAAUUGAAGACUUCCUGCAAAUCCAAAGCAACCUCUUGACAAUUAAAUACUCCUACUCUGAGAUUAAGAAGAUGACUAAUAAAUUCAAGGAGAAACUAGGAGAAGGAGCUUAUGGAACUGUCUUUAAAGGAAAGCUGCGUAGUGGUCCUUUUGUUGCAGUGAAGAUGAUGCACAAAUCUAUGGCGAGUGGGCAAGAAUUUAUUAGUGAAGUUUCCACAAUUGGAAGGAUUCACCAUGUUAAUGUCGUGCAGCUCGUUGGAUUCUGUGUUGAAGGCUCAAAACGUGCUUUGUUAUAUGAGUUCAUGCUCAAUGGUUCCUUAGACAAGUACAUAUUUCUGCAAGAAGGAACUGUUUCCUUGACUUACAAGAAAAUGUUCAACAUAUCUCUUGGAGUGGCCCGUGGCAUAGCCUACUUACAUCGGGGCUGUGACAUGCAGAUCUUACAUUUUGAUAUUAAGCCUCACAACAUUCUUGGUCUUGGUCACUACCCAGUGUAAUCCCACAAUAGUGGGGUCUGGGGAGGGUAAGAUGUACGCAGCCUUACCCCUACCUGGGUAGGGAGGCUGUUUCCGAUUGACCCUCGGCAACCCUCCUCCUUUAUCCGGGCUUGGGACCGGCAAUGUGAGCGAGCUCACACAGGCGGAGUUAUCUUGAUGAAAAUUUCAAUCCCAAAAUAUCUGACUUUGGGCUUGCAAAAUUGUACCCGACAGAUGAUAGUAUUGUGAGUAUCACUGCAGCAAGAGGGACAAUGGGUUACAUGGCUCCGGAGUUGUUUUAUAAAAAUAUUGGAGGAGUGUCAUACAAAGCCGACGUAUAUAGUUAUGGCAUGUUAUUGAUGGAAAUGGCAGGCAGAAGGAAGAACAUGAACCCAUGGACCACUUGAGCCAAAUUUACUUUCCUACAUGGGUUUAUGACCAAUUUAAUGAAGGAAAUGAUAUAGAGAUGCAGGAUGCAAGCGAGGAAGAUAGGAGGUUUGUCAAGAAGAUGAUGAUUGUGGCUUUGUGGUGUAUACAAAUGAAGCCUGCUGAUCGUCCUGCAAUGAACAAAGUUGUUGAAAUGCUUGAAGGAGAUGUUGAACUCCUACAGCUCCUCGUGAGAUUGCUGGAGACGGUAUUGAGACAAUAAGAAUUUCCAGUGACGUAUAGGUGGCUACUCACUGUUCUGUGCAAACUAUGGUCAUAAUUUACUUAAUUUCUGAUUUAGUUCAUGACGUCCAAUAUCUAUCAGAAGAGCUCAAUCUCAGCCCACAAGUAGUCAUUUCGGUGAGACUAGUUCCUCCUUGGUUUUAAUGGAGAACCAAUUUCUUGGUAAAGAAUCCCUUUAAGAGGAUAACCUGAAUUUAAACUUGCCACAGCUUAUACAAGUGAAAUCAUUAAGGGUUACUGCAUCAUCUUCACUCCUUCCAGCACCAUUGGGACUACUACUGUGAUGGAGAGCCUGAUCGGUAUCACUGAGCACAUGCAUUUUGUAGUAAAAAACUUAUCAGCAUCCCCUACUACACACCAUUUAAUCACAGUAAUGUUGGCAUGGCCUUCUUUAGUAGUUAGGAAGAAAUUUGUAAGGCAGAUAUAUACUGUAUCCCCCAUCACAGAAGCCAAGCAAAUAAAGCUUCUAAUUUUUGCAUGUUAAAUCUUAGUUAUCAUCUCAGGUUAUCUGACUGAUGAAUGUUGAUGAUUAAACUACUACAUCAACGGCAUUAAGUUUCCUUUUAAAAGGUAUCUCCUUGGCUAGAUUGAGGCCCUAAGCUCAAUUAGACUGAAGUGUAUUUCCUUGCAAAGAAUUACCUUGGUGGCUACCUGGUUUGAUUUUGAUUCAUUUACUCCUAUAUUUAUCUGAAUAUUUGGGUUAUCCGUAUAUUUUGCUGGCGGCUAUGACAAGAGAAAGCAAGGAGCUGCAUCUACAUAUAGAAAACGAAAUGUGUCUGGACUUUAGCAGCAUUCCUAACCAUCUUUCCGAUGAUACACAUUAUAUC